UGCGAAGUAGCCCAAUGGCAAGGCGCUCGGCUGUUAACCGAGGAGAUGGUGGUUCGACUCCACCCUUCGCAGCCA
rnacentral:tRNA from 1 species